AUAUAUUUCUUAUAUUUCUUAUGUCUUUUUCUUUUCUUAUAAUAUCUUUCUUCACAUCCAAAUUGGGGUGCUAUUUUAUUUUUGCAACAUGCUAAAUUUCUUAUCAGUGUUUUUUCCAUUUUUAAUUCUUCUCUAUAUUAAAAAGUUGGGAAGAAGCAAAAAUAGUAAAUACUUUAGGAGCAAGAAUAAAAUUUUUACAACAAUGGUAUAGAAACUUAUGUGAAAAAUACAGAGAA
rnacentral:lncRNA from 1 species